rnacentral:rRNA from 1 species
CUGCUCUUCUUCUAUCCGGUUCGAUGCCUUGUUUUUUACCCCGCCCUGCUUCUCAAAAACAUGUCCUAUUGGUUUAUUUAGUAGGUCAGACCUGCCCAGUGAAAUAUUUAACGGCCGCGGUAUACUGACCGUGCAAAGGUAGCAUAAUCAUUAGUCUUUUAAUAGGAGGCUGGAAUGAAUGGUUCGACGAAAAAUUUACUGUCUCAAUUAUAAAUUUGAAUUUAUCUUUUAAGUUAAAAGGCUUAACUUUUGUUGAUGGACGAGAAGACCCUAUAGAGCUUUACACUUUCAUUUUUAUGAAUAUAUAGUUUAUAAUUUAUUCUUAAACUUUAAAUGUGUUAGGUUGGGGUGACAAUAAAUAUAUAUUUAACUUUUAUUAUUAUAUAAACAUUAAUUUAUGAUUUUUUGAUCCAAAAUUUUUGAUUAAUAGAUUAAGUUACCUUAGGGAUAACAGCGUUAUCUUCCCCCAGAGUUCUUAUUUACGGGAAGGUUUGCGACCUCGAUGUUGGAUUAAGAUAAUAAUUAGGUGUAGCAGCUUAAUUAAUAGGUCUGUUCGACCCGAAGUGCUAAGAUUUUAGUACGCUA